rnacentral:rRNA from 1 species
UACAGAGGUCUCAAGCGUUGUUCGGAUUCAUUGGGCGUAAAGGGCGCGUAGGCUGCGGGGCAAGUCGGGUGUGAAAUCUCAGAGCUCGACUCUGAAACUGCACUCGAUACUGCUUUGCUUGAGGACUGGAGAGGAGAUUGGAAUUCACGGUGUAGCAGUGAAAUGCGUAGAUAUCGUGAGGAAGACCAGUGGCGAAGGCGGAUCUCUGGACAGUUCCUGACGCUGAGGCGCGAAGGCCAGGGGAGCAAACGGG